rnacentral:rRNA from 1 species
GACGAACGCUGGCGGCGUGCUUAACACAUGCAAGUCGAACGAUGAAGCCGGAGCUUGCUCUGGUGAAUUAGUGGCGAACGGGUGAGUAACACGUGAGUAACCUGCCCUUGACUCUGGGAUAACUGCGGGAAACUGUAGCUAAUACCGGAUACGACCCUCGGAGGCAUCUCCUGGGGGUGGAAAGAAUUUCGGUCAAGGAUGGACUCGCGGCCUAUCAGCUAGUUGGUGAGGUAAAGGCUCACCAAGGCGACGACGGGUAGCCGGCCUGAGAGGGUGACCGGCCACACUGGGACUGAGACACGGCCCAGACUCCUACGGGAGGCAGCAGUGGGGAAUAUUGCACAAUGGGCGCAAGCCUGAUACAGCAACGCCGCGUGAGGGAUGACGGCCUUCGGGUUGUAAACCUCUUUUAGCAGGGAAGAGGCGAAAGUGACGGUACCUGCAGAAAAAGCACCGGCUAACUACGUGCCAGCAGCCGCCGUAA